GACGAACGCUGGCGGCGUGCUUAACACAUGCAAGUCGAACGGUGACCCAGGGCUUGCCCUGGUGAUCAGUGGCGAACGGGUGAGUAACACGUGGGCAACCUGCCCCUGACUUCGGGAUAACUCCUCGAAAGAGGAGCUAAUACCGGAUACGACCACUUCGGACAUCCGAUGGUGGUGGAAAGUUUUCGGUCAGGGAUGGGCCCGCGGCCUAUCAGCUAGUUGGUGGGGUAAUGGCCUACCAAGGCGACGACGGGUAGCCGGCCUGAGAGGGCGACCGGCCACACUGGGACUGAGACACGGCCCAGACUCCUACGGGAGGCAGCAGUGGGGAAUAUUGCGCAAUGGGCGAAAGCCUGACGCAGCGACGCCGCGUGAGGGAUGAAGGCCUUCGGGUUGUAAACCGUCUUUCAGCAGGACGAAGCGAAAGUAGACGGUACCUGCAGAAGAAGCACCGGCUAACUACGUGCCAGCAGCCG
rnacentral:rRNA from 1 species